rnacentral:rRNA from 1 species
UACGGAGGGUGCGAGCGUUGUCCGGAAUCACUGGGCGUAAAGGGCGCGUAGGUGGCGGGGCAAGCGUGCGGUGAAAGCUCGGGGCUCAACCCCGAGUCGGCCGUGCGAACUAGCUUGCUUGAGCACUGUAGAGGCAGAUGGAAUUCCGGGUGUAGCGGUGGAAUGCGUAGAUAUCUGGAGGAACACCGGUGGCGAAGGCGGCAUCCUGGACCGGUAUUGACGCUGAGGAGCGAAAGCCAGGGGAGCAAACGGG